rnacentral:rRNA from 1 species
GAAGCGGCAACAGCUCAAAUUUGAAAUCUGGCGCAAGCCCGAGUUGUAAUUUGUAGAGGAUGCUUCUGGGUAGCGGCCGGUCUAAGUUCCUUGGAACAGGACGUCAUAGAGGGUGAGAAUCCCGUAUGUGAUUGGCUUGCACCCUAUACGUAGCUCCUUCGACGAGUCGAGUUGUUUGGGAAUGCAGCUCUAAAUGGGAGGUAAAUUUCUUCUAAAGCUAAAUACCGGCCAGAGACCGAUAGCGCACAAGUAGAGUGAUCGAAAGAUGAAAAGCACUUUGGAAAGAGAGUUAAAAAGCACGUGAAAUUGUUGAAAGGGAAGCGCCCGCAAUCAGACUUUGCGGCAGUGUUCGGCCGGUCUUCUGACCGGUUUACUCGCUGUCGUGAGGCCAUCAUCGUCUGGGACCGCUGGAUAAGACCUUAGGAAUGUAACUCCCUUCGGGGAGUGUUAUAGCCUCUGGUGAUGCAGCGCGUCUCGGGCGAGGUCCGCGCUUCGGCAAGGAUGAUGGCGUAAUGGUUGUCGGCGGCCCGUCUUGAAACACGGACCAAGGAGUCUAACAUCUAUGCGAGUGUUCGGGUGUCAAACCCCUACGCGUAAUGAAAGUGAACGGAGGUGGGAACUUUAUUGUGCACCAUCGACCGAUCCUGAUGUCCUCGGAUGGAUUUGAGUAAGAGCAUAGCUGUUGGGACCCGAAAGAUGGUGAACUAUGCCUGAAUAGGGUGAAGCCAGAGGAAACUCUGGUGGA